AUACGUAGGUGACAAGCGUUAUCCGGAUUUACUGGGCGUAAAGGGCGUGUAGGCGGUCUUGCAAGUCAGAAGUGAAAUUCCUGAGCUCAACUCGGGCGCUGCUUCUGAAACUGCAGGACUUGAGUGCUGGAGGGGAUAGCGGAAUUCCUAGUGGAGCGGUAAAAUGCGCAGAUAUUAGGAAGAACACCGGUGGCGAAGGCGGCUAUCUGGACAGUAACUGACGCUGAGGAGCGAAAGCGUGGGGAGCAAACAGGAUUAGAUACCCUGGUAGUCCACGCUGUAAACGAUGAAUACUAGGUGUGGGGGGACUGACCCCCUCCGUGCCGCAGUUAACACAAUAAGAAUUCCACCUCGGAAGUCCGGACGCACGGUUGAACCUCAAAUGAAUCGCCGCCG
rnacentral:rRNA from 1 species